rnacentral:rRNA from 1 species
UAAUACGGGGGGGGCAAGCGUUGUUCGGAAUUACUGGGCGUAAAGGGCUCGUAGGCGGCCAACUAAGUCAGACGUGAAAUCCCUCGGCUCAACCGGGGAACUGCGUCUGAUACUGGAUGGCUUGAAUCCGGGAGAGGGAUGCGGAAUUCCAGGUGUAGCGGUGAAAUGCGUAGAUAUCUGGAGGAACACCGGUGGCGAAGGCGGCAUCCUGGACCGGUAUUGACGCUGAGGAGCGAAAGCCAGGGGAGCAAACGGGA